CCUACGGGAGGCUGCAGUGAGGAAUUUUGGUCAAUGGACGAGAGUCUGAACCAGCCAAGUAGCGUGAAGGAUGACUGCCCUAUGGGUUGUAAACUUCUUUUAUAUGGGAAUACAACAGGGUAUGCAUACCCUCUUGUAUGUACCAUAUGAAUAAGGAUCGGCUAACUUCGUGCCAGCAGCCGCGGUAAUACGGAGGAUACGAGCGUGAUCCGGAUUUAUUGGGUUUAAAGGGAGCGUAGGUGGAUUGUUAAGUCAGUUGUGAAAGUUCGCGGCUCAACCGUGAAAGUGCAGUUGAAACUGGCAGUCUUGAGUACAGUAGAGGUGAGCGGAAUUCGUGGUGUAGCGGUGAAAUGCGUAGAUAUCACGAAGAACACCGGUUGCGAAGGCAGCUCACUGGACUGCAACUGACACUGAUGCGCGAAAGCGUGGGUAGCGAACGGGAUUAGAUACCCCUGUAGUC
rnacentral:rRNA from 1 species